rnacentral:rRNA from 1 species
CGCUGGCGGCGUGCCUAACACAUGCAAGUCGAGCGAGGAGAUCCUUCGGGAUGAUCCUAGCGGCGGACGGGUGAGUAACACGUGGGCAACCUGCCUCAUAGAGAGGAAUAGCCUUCCGAAAGGGAGAUUAAUACCUCAUAACAUUGCAGUUUCGCAUGGAACAGCAAUUAAAGGAGCAAUCCACUAUGAGAUGGGCCCGCGGCGCAUUAGCUAGUUGGUGAGGUAACGGCUCACCAAGGCGACGAUGCGUAGCCGACCUGAGAGGGUGAUCGGCCACAUUGGGACUGAGACACGGCCCAGACUCCUACGGGAGGCAGCAGUGGGGAAUAUUGCACAAUGGGGGAAACCCUGAUGCCAGCAACGCCGCGUGAGUGAUGACGGCCUUCGGGUUGUAAAGCUCUGUCUUCAGGGACGAUAAUGACGGUACCUGAGGAGGAAGCCACGGCUAACUACGUGCCAGCCGCCGC